AAACACCAGGAUAGGGAGUAAGUUUUGAGCUGCUACAGCUUGUAUGGAUUGUGUAUGGAGCAGGUUGGGGAAGCUACCUGCUCCUACUCAAAGAGUUAUGCUCAUAGGGAUCAUGAAGGAUCCAGGAUUGGCUGGAAACAUCGACUUACCCACCAAGAAGGGACAGUAUGAGCAAUACAAGCUUCCCCACUGCUUCCUAGUCCAUGUGCCUCAGCCCUGACCCGGAGGAACCACUCCUGGAGCAACUACAUGCCUAGAAGCCAGGCUACCUUCCAGUCUAAGAUCACAUGUCGUGUUUGACCCAGCAUUCUUUAUAAAGCAGAUUUCAAAUAACCUGCAUAGAUGGCAACAGUCAGCAGAGAUGGAGGUGGGGCUGAGAAGAAGCAAUAUAGCAAAGGUGU